rnacentral:rRNA from 1 species
CCCUUAGAUGUUCUGGGCCGCACGCGCGCUACACUGAUGAAUUCAACGAGUAUACUUGUUUCCUUUGGAGACAAUUCCUUGGUAGAGAUGCCUGGGUAAUCUUUUGAACGUUCAUCGUGAUGGGGCUAGAUUCUUGCAAUUUUUAAUCUUAAACGAGGAAUUCCUAGUAAACGCAAGUCAUCAGCUUGCAUUGAUUACGUCCCUGCCCUUUGUACACACCGCCCGUCGCACCUACCGAUUGAAUGGUCCGGUGAAAACCUCGGAUUUUGGUAAAUUUCAGCGAUGAGAUUUUCUAGAAGAAGUCGUUUAAACCUUACCAUUUAGAGGAAGGUGAAGUCGUAACA